rnacentral:rRNA from 1 species
UACAGAGGGUGCAAGCGUUAAUCGGAAUUACUGGGCGUAAAGCGAGCGUAGUCGGUUAUUUAAGUCGGAUGUGAAAUCCCCCGGGCUCAACCUGGGAAUUGCAUUCGAUACUGGAUAGCUAGAGUUCGGCAGAGGGAAGCGGAAUUUCGGGUGUAGCGGUGAAAUGCGUAGAUAUCUGGAGGAACACCGGUGGCGAAGGCGACGUCCUGGACCGGCAUUGACGCUGAGGCGCGAAAGCCAGGGGA